GACGAACGCUGGCGGCGUGCUUAACACAUGCAAGUCGAACGGAAAGGCCCUGCUUUUGUGGGGUGCUCGAGUGGCGAACGGGUGAGUAACCUGCCCUUGACUUUGGGAUAACUUCAGGAAACUGGGGCUAAUACCGGAUAGGAGCUCCUGCUGCAUGGUGGGGGUUGGAAAGUUUCGGCGGUUGGGGAUGGACUCGCGGCUUAUCAGCUUGUUGGUGGGGUAGUGGCUUACCAAGGCUUUGACGGGUAGCCGGCCUGAGAGGGUGACCGGCCACAUUGGGACUGAGAUACGGCCCAGACUCCUACGGGAGGCAGCAGUGGGGAAUAUUGCACAAUGGGCGGAAGCCUGAUGCAGUAACGCCGCGUGCGGGAUGACGGCCUUCGGGUUGUAAACCGCUUUCGCCUGUGACGAAGCGUGAGUGACGGUAAUGGGUAAAGAAGCACCGGCUAACUACGUG
rnacentral:rRNA from 1 species